rnacentral:rRNA from 1 species
UAGCAAUACGAUGGAAAGUCUAGUGGCGAACGAGUGCUUAACACGUGGGCAACCUGCCGAGAAGUGGGGGAUAGCUCGCCGAAAGGCGAAUUAAUACCGCAUGUGAUUAGAGUGGACAUCCAUUCGAAAUUAAAGUCGGGGCAACCUGACGCUUCUUGUGGGGCCCGCGGCCUAUCAGCUAGUUGGUGAGGUAACGGCUCACCAAGGCUUUGACGGGUAGCUGGUCUGAGAGGACGACCAGCCACACUGGGACUGAGACACGGCCCAGACACCUACGGGUGGCAGCAGUCGAGAAUUUUUGACAAUGGGGGAAACCCUGAUCGAGCGACGCCGCGUGGAGGAUGAAGGUCUUCGGAUUGUAAACUCCUGUCAUUGGGGAACAAUGCGUGACGCUUAACUGCCGUUGCGUUGAUAGUACCCGAAGAGGAAGAGACGGCUAACUCUGUGCCAGCAGCCGCGGUAAUACAGAGGUCUCAAGCGUUGUUCGGAUUCAUUGGGCGUAAAGGGUGCGUAGGCGGCGCGGUAAGUCGGGUGUGAAAUCUCGGAGCUUAACUCCGAAACUGCAUUCGAUACUGCCGUGCUUGAGGACUGAGAGGAGACUGAAUUCACGGGGUAGCAAAAGGCCA